rnacentral:lncRNA from 1 species
CAAGGAAUGAACUCUUUUAUUUUUUUACUACUAAAACAUAUAUUUAUUUAUUUAUUUAUUUUGUGCCUGCAUUUCUCUUGGAAAUUUUUAUUUAAUUAAUAAAUUUAGAAUAUUUUUCCAUGGUUACAAGAUUCAUGUUCUUUCCCUGCUCUUCCCCAAACCUCCUCCCGUAGCCCACAGGCAACUCCCAGGGAAUGAACUCUUGAUGACUGAUUUCAACCCAGCUGGGCCAGGUCCUGAGCUUGGCCUCAAGCCCUCACACCAACACUGACUCUUGAUUAUAUCAGGCUUGAUAUUAUAAAAGAUCUUCUUUGAUGUGUCUCUUCUAGUGAAGAAAGCUACUUCUCAAAAAGUCCAAAGGUUUCCCUUCAACCUCUCUGUAGAUUUGAUAACAGCAGGAUCAGCAGAAGCUACCUCCUCUCCUCUCAGCUCCAAGGACCAGGAAGCAAGCCCCUUCUGUUGAUUUAUCAUGAAGACUAACUACAACACACUGUGUGGUCUGAGACACCAAAUUCCUUUAACCUCUAAGAUUUUCUGGUUUUGCCAUGAAAAUAAUUGGUUGGGAGAAAGCGUGAACAGAAAGAUGGUGAGCUCCUCAAAAGCAAGGAUCGUCUUUUGCUUCAUUUUGUAUCCUCAGUACUUCACACAGUGCCUGAUACAACAUAUGUGCAUAAUAGAUAUUUAUUGACUGAUUGGGGCACUUGUCUAUAUCUCAUAAACCAUGCCUCUAGGAAAGACCAAAUCAUUUUCCAUCACCAGUUAGAAUCUUGGAGCCAUAGGAUGUCAGUGCUGAAAGGAUCUUUGGAGAUUAUCCAGUCCAACCAUUUUAACACAUGAGAAAGCUGAGGCCCAAAAAAGUAAAACAACUUUUCUAAGGGCUUAGCUAAAGAAUAAACUAUUUUUAUGUAC